CCUACGGGCGGCUGCAGUGGGGAAUAUUGCGCAAUGGGCGAAAGCCUGACGCAGCGACGCCGCGUGAGGGAUGAAGGUCUUCGGAUCGUAAACCUCUGUCAGCAGGGAAGAACGGUCACUGUGCUAAUCAGCAGUGAACUGACGGUACCUGCAAAGGAAGCACCGGCUAACUCCGUGCCAGUAGCCGCGGUAAUACGGCGGGUGCGAGCGUUAAUCGGAAUUACUGGGCGUAAGGCGCGCGUAGGCGGCAUGGCAAGCCAAGGGUGAAAUCCCCGCGCUCAACGUGGGAACUGCAUUUGAAACUGGCAAGCUGGAGUGUGGGAGAGGAAGGUGGAAUGCCAAGUGUAGGGGUGAAAUCCGUAGAUAUUAGGAGGAACAUCAGUGGCGAAGGCGACUUUCUGGACCAUAACUGACGCUGAGGAGCGAAAGCGUGGGUAGCAAACAGGAUUAGAUACCCUGGUAGUC
rnacentral:rRNA from 1 species